CGUCACUGCUGUUAUUAGCAAAGCAAGGCAAACAUCCCCAGGCCAGUGCAGCCAUUAGAGGGAACCACACCUCACUUACCACCCACCUCCCGCGUCCUGGGUGGACCCAAGGCACUCUACAGCCCGAAUGGAGCCCUCUGCUCGAUUAGAACUUAAGAUGACACACUAACUCAGACAUCACAGUUCAGGAUGCAACUGGGAAGGGAAGGGUCCAUUGAAACUGGUCGGAGAAGCCCUGAAGACAAACCUGGGCCCUGGAAAUGGAGAAGAGCAGGCGCUCAGCUCCAGGUCAUGGAGGAAACGCUUGCUGAGAAAUUAGUUCUGGAACUUAGACGAUUCCCAUCGGAUCGUUGCCUCCUGAUCCAGGACGGCUGCCUGAGCCUGGACACCUGCGUUGAGGAGAGUGACGUGAUCAGGUCUGCCAUUGUGGACGAUCGCUGGACCUGCAACGGGAAGGACGCCUUGGGGAGAAAACGCUUCGUAGAAGAAGUGUCUGAAGCCCCUCGCAUUGAAGAACAGCUGGAUCCUGACUGAAUAACUUUUUGAUGUUGGGACGAAAAGAAACGUGGGAGGUCUCCAAGGACCCACACACACGCACACAAGAAACAAACACAAACAUGAGACCUGCGUGCAGACUCGGGAGUGCUGAGCAGUGGCCGC
rnacentral:lncRNA from 1 species